UCCUUCUGCCUAAACAGAAGUCUGCUAUAAUUGUGUGAUUCAGAUCUUUCUGUUUCAUGCAAUAAUGCUAGCAGAUUAUUGCGCAGAAGAAGAUUAAUGAGCACUGUGCUGAAAAUGAGACGUGUUCGAACCUCUUUCUUAAUGUUCGUUGGCCACUGCCUCAAGGUUCUGUGCUACAGAC